UAAACAUUAUUACUGACAUAAUCCGGAUCAUACUGAUGAAAACAUAACUUGUUUCAGAAAAUCUUAACACUUUUGUCGAAGUUUAAAAUUAGUGUAUCGCUCAGCGCCUAAGAUGAACUAGCAUUAAUCGUAAAUAUUAUUAAAUAGUACUUUUAAAAAUUUACAAUUUAGUUCUUUUCUAUUGUUGGAAUAAUUCAGACUGUCACACUGGGAGUUAUAUGAGUCAACUCGGCUGAUGUCUCUCUCCAUAUUUCAACCCAGACGACGACCAUUUAUUAUAAAAGUUUUAAUCUUCAUCGCAACUGUCUUCUUCUUCAUAGUUAUAUUUUUGACUCACUCGUUUGUUCACGAUGUAAAUAGACAAAGUGAGCUAAAAGCUAAGGAACGCUUCAAGCAAAAUCUACUUCAGUUGAAUGCAGU